rnacentral:rRNA from 1 species
GACGAACGCUGGCGGCGUGCUUAACACAUGCAAGUCGAACGGAAAGGCCCUGCUUUUGUGGGGUGCUCGAGUGGCGAACGGGUGAGUAACACGUGAGUAAACUGCCCUUGACUUUGGGAUAACUUCAGGAAACUGGGGCUAAUACCGGAUAGGAGCUCCUGCUGCAUGGUGGGGGUUGGAAGGUUUCGGCGGUUGGGGAUGGACUGGCGGCUUAUCAGCUUGUUGGUGGGGUAGUGGCUUACCAAGGCUUUGACGGGUAGCCGGCCUGAGAGGGUGACCGGCCACAUUGGGACUGAGAUACGGCCCAGACUCCUACGGGAGGCAGCAGUGGGGAAUAUUGCACAAUGGGCGGAAGCCUGAUGCAGCAACGCCGCGUGCGGGAUGACGGCCUUCGGGUUGUAAACCGCUUUCGCCUGUGACGAAGCGUGAGUGACGGUAAUGGGUAAAGAAGCACCGGCUAACUACGUG